rnacentral:rRNA from 1 species
UACGGGGGGUGCGAGCGUUGUCCGGAAUCACUGGGCGUAAAGGGCGCGUAGGCGGUUUGAUAAGGGUGUGGUGAAAGUCCGGAGCUCAACUCCGGAUCUGCCGUGCCGACUGUCAAACUCGAGGGCUGUAGAGGCAGGCGGAAUUCCGGGUGUAGCGGUGGAAUGCGUAGAGAUCCGGAGGAAGACCGGUGGCGAAGGCGGUCUGCUGGGCAGUUUCUGACACUGAGGCGCGACGGCGUGGGGAGCAAACAGG